rnacentral:piRNA from 1 species
UGAAACAUACACGGGAAACCU